rnacentral:ncRNA from 1 species
UCAGUGCCAUUUAUUUCGUUACAACCUAAUAGUUGUUAUAAGGUAUGUCGUUGUCGAGAGCGAUAUUCAGUCUUUUUUGUUUUUUUUGUUAUAAAGUUAUUUUUGUACAAGAAAUGGCUUGCACCUCCAAAUAAACAAAUAUCAAACAUAUAAUCAGGGAACCAUCCUUGCACUCCACUCUCUCUUGAAAGUGCAGACUAAAGUGGGUGAUAAACGUCAUCUAACGCUAAAUAUAGACGCGAAUUCGAUAGCAAACAAGUACUGCGAAGGAAAGUUGCAAAGAACUUUGAAGAGAGAGUUCAAGAGAACGUGAUAUCGCUAGAGUGGAACCAGAGAGAGUUGACGUAGCCGGGUAACUAAGUCUACUAAUGUCGCUUAAUUGCGAUUGGGGGAGAUGUAUGUUGACUCUAACUGCAGCAUCCAUUGGAUGCGCUCUGAUUGCCUGACGCCUCAUCAUGCUGCCCAGAUUAACGACUAGAACCUGAAAC